ACCGCACACAGACGCCUACGUUCCGACUUUCAGACUACGAGUUAUUGACUUGUUUUCCGUAGUACUGUCGGCCGAUUGUGACUUCCAUUUUUGUUUGUGAAUUUCAGUCUUUAUAACAUAACUUUUUAUUCUUAUAAAUUAUUAAACACUUGAUUAAGAUUUGUUGAUUUCAAUUGACUAUUAUAUUACCGUUUUAUUUGCAUCACAUUUUCUAAUUUUGUUCGUAUUACAAGCUUCUCAUCAAACAUGGGAUCUGACGAACCAGAACAAUACAGGAAAUUAUUCAUUGGUGGUUUAAACUAUACCACAACUAAUGAUUCACUUAAAGAAUUUUUUGAGCAAUGGGGUGAAAUUGUGGAUGUAGUUGUCAUGAAAGACCCUCAAACCAAGAGAUCUCGAGGAUUUGGAUUCAUUACUUAUUCUCAAUCGUCUAUGGUUGAUCAAGCCAUGUCAAAUAGACCCCAUAAAAUAGAUGGCCGUGAAGUGGAAACAAAGCGAGCUGUUCCACGUGACGAUAUUGAUAAACCAGACAUUGCAGCUACUGUAAAAAAAAUGUUUGUUUCUGGUAUUAAAGAACAAUCAGAAAACGAUCUUCAUGAAUAUUUUGGAAAAUUUGGCAAUAUCACUAAUGUAACAAUAGUAACUGAUAAAGAUUCUGGUCAAAGAAAAGGAUUUGGAUUUAUUGAGUAUGAUGAUACUGAUUCAGUUGACAAAGCUGUUUUGAUUAAAAGUCACCAAGUGGCUGGUGGAAAAUUGGAUGUGAAAAAAGCUAUUAGUCGUAGUGAUGGCGCUGGUGGUGGCCGUGGUGGACGAGGCGGUCGUGGUGGUGGCGGAGGAGGCGGUGGCAAUAGAAGUAGUUGGGGUGGAAAUCCGCGAAAUGAACAAUGGGGAGGCCAUCAUAACAGAUCAAAUGGUGGCGGUGGAGGAUACGGAAAUUCUGGAAUGGGAGGAGGAUAUGGCUCCGGCGGCGGUGGUGGUGGUGGUUAUGGAGGUAGUGCAGGUGGUUACAACUCAAAUUCUGGUGGAGCUUGGCAAGGUGGCGGCGGUGCUCCUCAAAGUUGGGGUAACAAUAAUCCAGCAUGGGGUAACCAAGGAGGUGGCGGUGAUAGUUGGGGAGGUUCACAACAACCUAGUAACAACUGGGGUCCAAAUCAAAGUUAUGGUGGUGGUGGUGGCCCGAUGAGAUCAAAUUAUACCUCUAAUAAUCGCGCUACACCUUAUGGAAACCCAGGUAGAGCUGGCAAUGUAAAUGCUGGUAAUGCUGGUUAUGGUCAAAAUCCUGGUCGGCGGUACUAAUGCAACACUUUCAACUAAAGAAUGGAAAAGUGACUGUCAACUGAUGUGCAUUCACCAUGAAUGUUCUUUAAGAUUUUUGUCAUUGGUCCUGUCACUAAAAGAAAGAAAAAAUGUGUCAUGUUGAACGCCUCACUCUGUUACUACCUUGCAAUUAGCUAAGAUGAUUAAGUAAUUUUUCAGUUUAAACUAAUUGAUGGAAACUAAAGUCAGCAACCUAUUUAAUCGAGAGGUGUGGUCUAACAAAAAUUUGCUGCCGCCUGAUGUUACUCUUUGAGUAACGAAUCUACUGAGUGUAUUGAAUAUGUAAACCAUGAAAAUCAGUUUAUUCACAAGAAUAAGCUUUGAUAAUAUGAAAAAUAGUAUAAGUGUUUACAGAAUUUAAGAAGAUCUUGUCACAGAGCUGUAUUGGCAAUCACAUUAAUCGAGGUUUACAGUUCAGAUAUUCUGAAAUAUGUUCCAAACUGCCGGUGUUUCGAAAAUUAAGAUAUCAUUUUUAUAAUGCGUACAAUUUAAUUUGUGUUAAAUUGAGAAAAAUAUAAUCUUUUUUAAUAAA